rnacentral:lncRNA from 1 species
GCGCGUUUCGUCUACAUAAGACUCAUCAGUGACGCUCAGAUCAAAAUAGUUAAAAAGCCAAAUAAAUACAAAGUUGAAGAGCAUUGAGGAUCAAAAAUUCCUAAAAGUUGUGCCAAAUAUGGCUAAGGUAAUCUACUCCUGAGGUAAGAAAAUCCUUAGUUUUUCGAAAAAUUCAAAGUUUUGUAAACAGAAAAUUUAUAAAAAUGACCAUAUAAUUGAUAUUCAUGUCAACACCGAA